AAUGAACGCUGGCGGCAGGCCUAAAACAUGCAAGUCGAGCGCCCUAGCAAUAGGGAGUGGCGCACGUGUGAGUAACAUGUGGGAAUAUGCCUUUUGGUACGGGACAACGUUUGGAAACGAACGCUAAUACCGUAUGGUCCCUCCGGGGUAAAGAUUUAUCGCCAAAAGAUUAGCCCGCACUGGAUUAGCUAGUUGGUAAGGUAAUGGCUUACCAAGGCGACGAUCUAUAGCUGUUCUGAGAGGAAGAUCAGCCACACUGGGACUGAGACACGGCCCAGACUCCUACGGGAGGCAGCAGUUAGGAAUAUUGGACAAUGGGCGCAAGCCUGAUCCAGCCAUGCCGCGUGAGUGAUGAAGGCCUUCGGGUUGUAAAGCUCUUUAGCCGACGAAUAUAAUGACUGUAGUCGGAGAAUAAGCCCCGGCUAACUUCGUGCCAGCCGCCGCAGUAAAAC
rnacentral:rRNA from 1 species